CAGACUGUGUCCUGGCCACAUGGUUUUUAUCCUGACAUUACAUUCCUUAGUCAUUCUUGUUAUUUGUGACCAUGUAAUCAAGUUCUGGACAAAGGCUAUGGAUUUAGAAGGCAUGGGGGAUGAACUGACCUUCCAGCCAGCAUUUAUUGUCUUAAUGCAUUUCCUUUGAAUAGCAACCCACUGUAUGUAUAGUUUCCAUUUUGUUCAAGUGCAGUUCUCUCCUAUUUUUCUUGGUAUUUAUUCCCAUUAAAUAAACUUGUU